AGUGGCUUGAAAGGAUUUACAAUCGCUUCGGCUUCAAAUUAUCGUGCGUGUAGAAGAUAAUAAUGAUAACAAAAUGAAUGUAUAUUUUGUAGAUGUUUCUUCUUCUAGUGAUUAUUUAUUGCAUAUGUUAUGUCUAGGGGUCCUGUUUGGCUCAAACUGUUGUGUAUCAAAAAUUCUCUUUUGGCCUUGUGAGUAAUUCUUUAUUUAAAAAUAUUGAUUAGUGUUUUGAGCUGUUAUUUGUUUAUAGAAACACAUAAACAGGAAUGUGAAUUACAUUUGGCUGGUAAAUGCAAUAGCUAUUCUAUUUUUCUCAUUUACCUUUA
rnacentral:lncRNA from 1 species